AUUGAACGCUGGCGGCAGGCCUAACACAUGCAAGUCGAGCGAUAGCACAGAGAGCUUGCUCUCGGGUGACGAGCGGCGGACGGGUGAGUAAUGUCUGGGAAACUGCCUGAUGGAGGGGGAUAACUACUGGAAACGGUAGCUAAUACCGCAUAAUGCAUUGGAUUCGCAUGUUUCUGAUGCCAAAGAUUUUAUCGCUGAAAGAUGAGCUCGCGUCUGAUUAGCUAGUUGGCGGGGUAACGGCCCACCAAGGCGACGAUCAGUAGCCGGACUGAGAGGUUCGAACGGCCACAUUGGGACUGAGACACGGCCCAG
rnacentral:rRNA from 1 species